rnacentral:rRNA from 1 species
UACAGAGGGUGCAAGCGUUAAUCGGAAUUACUGGGCGUAAAGCGUGCGUAGGUGGUUAAGUCAGUCGGAUGUGAAAGCCCUGGGCUCAACCUAGGAAUGGCAUUCGAUACUACUUAGCUAGAGUAUGGGAGAGGAAAGUGGAAUUCCACGUGUAGCGGUGAAAUGCGUAGAUAUGUGGAGGAACACCAGUGGCGAAGGCGGCUUUCUGGACCAAUACUGACACUCAGGCACGAAAGCGUGGGGAGCAAACAGG